rnacentral:tRNA from 1 species
UCUGACAUGGCAGACUAGUGCAAUGGAUUUAAGCUCCGUACAUAAAGGCUAUAAUCCUUUUAUCAGAA